rnacentral:rRNA from 1 species
CCUACGGGGGGCAGCAGUGGGGGAUAUUGCACAAUGGAGGAAACUCUGAUGCAGCGACGCCGCGUGAGGGAAGACGGUCUUCGGAUUGUAAACCUCUGUCUUUGGGGAAGAAAAUGACGGUACCCAAAGAGGAAGCUCCGGCUAACUACGUGCCAGCAGCCGCGGUAAUACGUAGGGCGCGAGCGUUAUCCGGAAUUACUGGGUGUAAAGUGAGCGUAGGCUGUCGGGAAAGUUGAGUGUUAAAUCUACGGGCUCAACUGCUAGUCGCGUUGAAUACUUCCAGUCUUGAGUGAAAUAGAGGCAGGCGGAAUUCCAAGUGAAGCGGUGAAAUGCGUAGAUAUAAGGAAGAACACCAGAGGCGAAGGCGGCCUGCUGGGUUUAUACUGACGCUGAGGGUCGAAAGCGUGGGGAGCAAACAGGAUUAGAUACCCCGGUAGUC